UAAAAAAAAAAAAAAAAAAUAAUAAUAAAAAAAAAAAAAAAAAAGAAGAAAAAAGGUGAUGGUUCGGUUAGAGCCAACCUACUGAGUCUUGUCGGACAAGAGCAGCACUGGCCAGUUAUCCUUCCACUGCCAGUAGCGGAAAGUUUUCGCUGCUCUGUGAAGCCAGCCUAACGCGGAGCCCUCCACUUUAGGAGCCAAGAGGCCCAAACCUUCGUUCGAGUCUCCUGAUACGACUAUUUGCUUGGAACGGGCUGGCCAGAUUCUAGCUACCCCUUGUCCAACCCAGUAAAGCGAGCCCAACGUCCCAUCAACUUUAGGCCCCCACUCGGGUUACAGACUCUCGCAACUGAGCCCGGCGUUUAAGUGUCCUGCUUGCUGAUUUAUAAAUAGAGAAUUUUUUAUUCUUGUUGUCGAUGAGGGAUUUGCAUACUGACAAGAUAAAGUUUAAGACUAGAGUCAUAUGAGAAGUCUUCACUUAGCAUAUUAUACAUUAUAUUUAUGUCAAUUCAAAAUCAUUUGAUCAGUGAUUGAUUAUCUGUUUCAUUCUGCUGAAUGUAGCUCAUUUCAUUUUCAAAAUUUUAAAACAAUCUUAUUAAAAAACUUUGUAAUUUUGAAAUUAAUUUCAAUUAUGU
rnacentral:misc_RNA from 1 species